UACAGAGGGGGCAAGCGUUGUUCGGAAUUACUGGGCGUAAAGGGCGCGUAGGCGGCCCGCUAAGUCGAACGUGAAAUCCCCGGGCUUAACCCGGGAACUGCGUCCGAUACUGGCAGGCUUGAAUCCGGGAGAGGGAUGUGGAAUUCCAGGUGUAGCGGUGAAAUGCGUAGAGAUGUGGAGGAACACCGAUGGCGAAGGCAGCCUCCUGGGCCAACACUGACGCUCAUGCACGAAAGCGUGGGGAGCAAACAGG
rnacentral:rRNA from 1 species